GGUAGGGUGGCCGAGGUGAGGUAGCGGGUUGUAGCCCUGAAGAUGUAGGUUUAAAUCCUUCCCCUAUCA
rnacentral:tRNA from 1 species